GUUAAAACACCAGUUCUCAUUCGAUCACUGAAGUUAAGCAACAUCAAUCCUGGUCAGUGCUUGAUUUGUGACCCCCUUGGGAAUACCAAGUGCUGUAAG